UACGUAGGGUGCAAGCGUUAAUCGGAAUUACUGGGCGUAAAGCGUGCGCAGGCGGUUUUGUAAGUCUGACGUGAAAUCCCCGGGCUCAACCUGGGAAUUGCGUUGGAGACUGCAAGGCUGGAGUCUGGCAGAGGGGGGUAGAAUUCCACGUGUAGCAGUGAAAUGCGUAGAGAUCGGGAGGAACACCAGUGGCGAAGGCGGCCUUCUGGACCAAUACUGACGCUCAUGCAUGAAAGCGUGGGGAGCAAACAGG
rnacentral:rRNA from 1 species